UACAGAGGUCUCAAGCGUUGUUCGGAUUCAUUGGGCGUAAAGGGUGCGUAGGUGGCGGGGUAAGUCAGGUGUGAAAUUUCGGAGCUCAACUCCGAAACUGCAUUUGAUACUGCCUUGCUUGAGGACUGGAGAGGAGACUGGAAUUCACGGUGUAGCAGUGAAAUGCGUAGAUAUCGUGAGGAAGACCAGUGGCGAAGGCGGGUCUCUGGACAGUUCCUGACACUGAGACACGAAGGCCAGGGGAGCAAACGGG
rnacentral:rRNA from 1 species